rnacentral:lncRNA from 10 species
CCCGCCCCCAGGGGCUGUGAUUUGUGUUUCAGUUUGGGGCGGGCCCAGCACAGGUGUUCCGAGUGAGCUCUCCGGGCAGUGCCGUGCUCUGCCGGGUACCCUCGGGGGUAUCCUCUCAAAUUCUAUGCGUCGGAGUAAUGCUGUUGGCAUAAACUAGGCUGUCUUCUGCUUUCUGUGUCAUGGAUACAGUGCUUGCUGAAGAUUGAAAGUGCCCUCAGAAACUUUUGGAGUUCUGGAGGCCGGAAGUCUAAGAUCAAGGUGUCAGCAGGUAUGGUUUCUCUUGAGGCCUCUCUCCUUGGCUUGCAGAUGGCUACUUUCUUGCUACAUCCUCAAAUGGUGUUUUCUUUGUGUACUUGCAUCACUGAUAUCACUCAAUGUGUCCAUUGAGUGACACCUAACAGCCUUAUUUUAACUCAAUCACUUUCUUUUUUUUUUUUGAGACGAAGUUUUGCUCUUGUUGCCCAGCCUGGAGCACAAUGGCACAAUCUUGACUCACUGCAACCUCCACCUCCCGGGUUUAAGCAAUUCUCCUGCCUCAGCCUCCCAAGUAGCUGGGAUUACAGGCGCCCACCACCACACCUGGCUAAUUUUUGUACUUUUAGUAGAGAUGGGGUUUUACCAUGUUGGUCAGGCUGGUCUUGAACUCCUGACCUCAGCCUCCCAAGGUGCUGGGAUUACAGGCAUGAGCCACUGUGCCCGGCCCUCAAUCACUUCUGUAAAGGUCCUAUCUCCAAAUACAGUCAUAUUCUGAGGUACUAGGGGGUUACAGAUUCAUGUGAAUUGAGAGGGCAGGAGGACACAAUUCAGCCCAUAACAUAAGCUCCUUGCAAUUUCAUAUGAAUUGAAGAUCAGAUUUUCCAUUUCUGCAAAAAAGGCUUUUGAAAUUUUGUUAGAAGUUGCCUUGAAUCUGUAGAUGGCUGUGGGUAGUACUGAUAUUAAUUCUUUCCAUUCGUUAACACAAGAUGUCUUUCCAUUUAUUUAGGCCUUUCUUUAUUUAGGACUUUCAGGAAUGUUUUGUAAUUUUCAGUGUACAAGUCUUUCACUCCUUGGUUAAAUUUAUUCCCAGAUAUUUCAUGCUUUUAGAUGAUAGUGUACAUGGAAUUGCUUUUAAAAUUUCCUUUUCUGAUUGUUCAAUACUGGUAUAUAGAAACAUAACUAGUUUUUGUGUGUUGAUCUUGUACCCUGAAAUUUUGCUGAAUCAUUUAUUUGCUCUAGGAGUUGCCUUACAUUCUUUGGGAUUUUCUGUGUAUAAGAUCAUAUUGUCUGUGAAUAUAGUUUUACUUCCUUUUCAGUUUGAAUGCCUUUUAUUUCUUUUUCUUGUCUAAUUGCUCUGGCUAGAACUUCCUAGUACAGGCCUGGUGCAGUGGCUCGCACCUGUAAUCCCAACACUUUGGGAGGCAGAGGCAGGUGGAUCACUUGAGCCCAGGGGUUUGAGACAAGCCUGAGCAACAUAGCAAAACCCUGUCUCUAUAAAAACAAAAAUUAACCCAGGUGUGGUGGCACUUGCCUGUGGUCUCAGCUUCAGGAGGCUGAGAUGAGAGGGUCGCUUCAGCCCAGGAGGUCAAGGCUGCAGUGAGCUAUGAUGGUACAACUGUACUCCAGCCUGUAUAACAGAGUGAGACCCUGGCAAACAACAACAACAACAACAAAAAGAUAGAAACUUCCAAUACAAUGUUGAAUAGCACUGGUGAAAGCAGGCAUUUUUGACUUGUUUGUGAAAUUAUGGGAAAAACUUUCAGUCUAUUACCAUUGAGUAUGAUGUUAGCUGUGGGCUUUUCAUAAGUGCCUUUAUUAUGCUGAAGAAUCUUCCCUCUAUUCCUAGUUUUCUAAGAAUUGUUAAAUAAAGUUCUGUUUUUAAUUCUGAGAGUUUUUAUCAUGAAAAAGUGUUGGCUUUUGUAAAUGCCUUUUCUGUACCGAUUAACAUAAUCAUUCUACUAAUGUGAUGUGUUACAUUAAUUUGAUUUUCUUAUGUUGAACAACUUUUGCAUUCCUGUUACAAAUUCCACUUGGUCAUGAUAUAUAAUGUGCUGUAUUUGGUUUGCUAGUGUUUUGUUGAAGAUGUUUGUAUUGAUAUUCAUAAGCGAUAUUGAUUUUUAUUUUUUUCUUUUUUAUGUCUUAAUAUACCUUUGUUAUAGGGUAAUGCUGGCAUCUGAAUAAGUUAGGAAGUAUUCCCUCCUCUUUGAAUUUUUUUGGAAGUGUUUGAGAAAGAUUGAUACUAAUUUUUCUUUAAAUCUUUAGAAGACUUCACCAGUGAAUCCAUCUGGUUCUAGGCUUUUCUUUGUUGAGAAGUUUUGAUUAAAGGAUGUUACUUGUUAUAUGUCUGGUAAGACUUUCAAUUCCUUUUUUGAGUCAAUUUAUGUAAUUUAUGUGUUUCUAGGUAUUUGUCCAUUUCAUCUAGGUUAUCCAAUUUUUGGUGUAUAAUUGUUCAUAGGAUUCUUUUAUAAUGCUUUUUAUUACUGUUUGUUCAGAAAUAAUGUACCUGCUUUCAUUUCUGAUUUUGAUUAUUUGCAUAUUCAUGUGUAUGUGUGUGUCAGUCAAGCUAAAGGUUUGUCAAAAUUGAUUUUUUUCAAUAAACUAACUUUUGGUUUCAUUGAUCUCACUAUUGUUUUUCCAUGAUCUAUUUUUAUUUAUUUCUACUCUGAUCUUUGUUUCCCUCUUUGUGUUAGCUUUUGGUUUAGUUUGCUCUUCUUUUUCUUGAGCCUUAACGUAUGAAGUUAGUUUAUUGAUUUGAGAUAUAUUUUCUUUUUUUUUAUGUAGGCAUUUACAGCUAUACAUUUCCCUCUGAGUACUGCCUUUAUUGCAUCCUAUAAGUUUUG